CCUACGGGUGGCAGCAGUGAGGAAUAUUGGUCAAUGGACGAGAGUCUGAACCAGCCAAGUAGCGUGAAGGAUGACUGCCCUAUGGGUUGUAAACUUCUUUUAUAUGGGAGUAAAAUGUUCCACGUGUGGGAUUUUGUAUGUACCAUAUGAAUAAGGAUCGGCUAACUCCGUGCCAGCAGCCGCGGUAAUACGGAGGAUCCGAGCGUUAUCCGGAUUUAUUGGGUUUAAAGGGAGCGUAGGUGGAUUGUUAAGUCAGUUGUGAAAGUUUGCGGCUCAACCGUAAAAUUGCAGUUGAAACUGGCAGUCUUGAGUAAAGGAGAGGUGGGCGGAAUUCGUGGUGUAGCGGUGAAAUGCUUAGAUAUCACGAAGAACUCCGAUUGCGAAGGCAGUUCACUGGACUGCAACUGACACUGAGGCUCGAAAGUGUGGGUAUCAAACAGGAUUAGAUACCCCUGUAGUC
rnacentral:rRNA from 1 species